ACACACACACACACACACACACACACACACACACCCCGAAGAGGGGAGCUUGAUCUUGUCUCAUUGGUGUCUCGGGCCUGAAAGGAAAAUCUUUUGGGUAAACAGCCAAGCUUCCAGGCUUAGCGCCCGGCUCCCGCCCCCGCUCCCGCCCCCCGCCCCUCCGCCUCCCCCACUCCCCUUCCACCCCGCCCGCCACCCACACUCCGCUCCGCAGCCGGGCCCCGAGCGAGCUCCGCGCCGCCGGCCGGGAGUCCGGGGCUCACGAGUUCAAAGGGCCGCGGCCCCGAGGGAGAUGCCCUCCUCGCUGUGCCCCGGGGGGCAGAAGCGGACCGCAGGGCGGUGGGACCGGUCCGGGCCACGGCCUCCUGGCUCCGCUCGCCCCCGCCUCCCCCAGUCCUCCCCGCCCUCGGCCUGGAAGAGACUCUGCGAUGACAUCAGCCUCCCCGCCCCCGGCCCCGGGACCCUGGAGUGGAGAUUGACAGGUGUCGCUCGCAAGGACAAUGCCUUCCAGGUGUCACCGUCGCCGUCUCAGCCCUCCCCACCCGCCCUCUCUGCCCCCUUCACUUCCAACUCGCCUGCCCCCCCCACCCCGUUUCUCCUCCGAGGGAAGCGCUCUCCUCACCCCUCCCCUAGCUCCUCGCGUCUGGGCCUCGGGGCCUCGGUCUGUACUGGCGGGGGGUGGCGGAACUCCGCCUGCUGCCUGCGGCGGGGCGGCCGGGAGAUUGCCCCGAGCCCCGGAACGGGUCCAGGCUGCUAGAGGCAACUCGGGCAAAGGCGGAUCCGGCUCUGCUUUCCAUCCUCAUCUUCGCCCCCACCCCGAGACACUCCACAAGCACACGCACACACACACACACACACACAAUAUAACAGACGCGAAGAUAAUCCUGCCAUCUGGCAAAUCCCAAAUUUGGCGCCCGAGCUCUGAAAGCCACGGCGAAGUGGCAUCCGGGAGUAGGUGGCUGGCUGAACCUGCCCUGCGCUCUGGAGCCGAAGCGAGGGCACUGAGCUCCGCGCCCGCGCCUCGGCUGGAUCCCCCAUCUCUGCCCUGACCCCUCGAUUUCGUGAGGUUUUGCUCUUACAGUGGACAGAGGCUCUGGGAGUCGGGAAUGGGGACACAGGAAUUGCGGGGGGGGGGGCGUCCCAGUUCCCACCAAUACUGCCUCAAUGAGCUAAAACCCAAAUUCGGCUUCAUUAUGUAACACCAAAUGUAAUUUAUAGCUGGGCGGCCUGUCGGCAGCGAUUUAGAUCAUUUGGUGAUAAGGAUCACACUUACUAGAUUUCUUCAAAGCCAAUGGGGGUUUUCUGUUUUUUUUUUUUUUUUUUUUUUUUUUUUUUAAAGGAGGGCAUUUGUGCUAAAUUGCCCAGUGCUGGUGUGAUAACUGUCAAAAGUUUGACAUCAAAGGAGCUAAUAUUAUUCAGUUACUAGAGACACUGUCUGUCUAAAUAAGAAUAUCUUAAUUACUGCAUGACAAAGGUAGGAAGGGGUCGUAUCUGAAAAGGGGAAGACAUUCAGACACUCCUUUUGAUGCGCUAUCUAUAUUAGACCGAUGCGUGGCUCUUAAUCAGGCUUCCCCCGAUUUCCUUUCCUCUCCCCUGUCGGUCCUCUGAACUUUAUAACUAUAUGUAAACACGUUGUCAGUGGGGACAUAAUCUUCUCGGGUUCUUAUUAGAAGAAAUUUCCAUCCUUUCCCGUUCUAGAUUAGCAGUGGAGUCCGCUCCAUCAAUGAAGGGACUAAGGUUUCGUGGACAAUAAUGUGGCAAUUGUUGAUGGUUUGUGACCCAUAAAAUGUGGAGGUGACUGUUCUGGCUUUGGUAUGUAAUUAUGCAAAACACUUUCCAUAAAGACUUGCCAUUCGAUCUAAUGGCAGUCCCUGCGGUCUAUUUCAAAUAGGGAGGGUCUAUGUACAGAGAGAGAAAAGUAACAUUUGUUUUAACACAGGUUUUAUGGGGGGGAUGGAUAAAUACAAACACAUCGUAACUGUCGCCCAAAGUAUUUUUUCGAGUCGAAUUAAAAUAAUUACGAGGGGGUUUAAUAAGUUAAUCAUAGCAACACGGCCUAUCCAAACAGAGGGAGGGGCGUUCAGGCUUCAGCCCACCACCUCCGCGACCUAGGACUGGGCUUGUGGGUGGCGAUUCAACCUCCCGCUUACGCAGGGUAGGGUGAGUCUCAGUCCACCUGAGUGCAGGGCUGGGCUCUAAAGCUCACUCUGGGGCUGAGCUUGGGGGAAGGGUGGGCAACGUCCCCACCCCAAAAUCUUAUCCGCGCAAUUAUUCGACAGAGGGAAGUUUAACAAAGCAAUCGUCUCCCAGGAAGCCCUCCCCCACACUCCCUCUGCCUCUAGUGCCCUCGGACCCCCAGGAUCUGGGGCCCACAGAGAGCCUGGUAGGAGGGGGUGCGGGGCCGGAAGGAGUGCCCGCUUGACUGGGGUGAGCUGUCUAAACUUGGCGCCCUGGCUCAAGACACAGCUCCGGGCCCGACUCCCAGCGGUGAAAGCAGCACCUUUCCAUGCCACCUGAGGUUUUGUUUUGAAAAAGGAGAAGAAGAAGAACCUAAAAAGGCUUGAAGGAGGAGAGGUGGAAUGAGACACGAGGUGGUCAGCGGGCCCAGCCCAGCCCUGGCCGCCGGCUACAAAGCAAGCGUUUCUCUGUGACACCGCCGCCCCCCACCCGUCCUGGAGAGGCGCCCCCCAGACUCGGAUCGGCUCUGCGUCCAGCUUCGCGGCCUCGCUGCCCGCCACACAGUGACGUGGCAGUGUGAGUUCCUCAGACGCAGGCGACAGGGGAUUUUUUUUUUUUCCAAGGGGGAAAUGAUGAUUAAAAGAUAGAAUCAUCUAAAUAUCAAAGUGACACAUGGGGAGAUCUGGAAAAAAUAUUUAAGCUAAUGAAAAGCAAAUAAAGAAGCAGACACUUAGGCCAGGAAAUUAAAUAUUAUGUUUAAGAUGGUGCUUUUCUGCGGGCUUGAAGAUUUCCGAUUCAUGUACACAUAAUAAACACUCAGGUUUGUCAUCUGGAGGUGCAAAUCUGAAAGAUAUUCCAACAAAUGAAGUGCCAGCAGAGAGAGGAAUAAAGAGAUCAGUGCCUGUCAGGGGUCAGGCAGCCUGAGAUUGCUUCUAGAGAUCUUUUGAAAAUUUCACACGAUUGAAGGCUUAGGGGCUUCACUGUGCUUGCAUUUCAAACUCAGAUCAGUGGGAUCACAAUCAAAAAUAGAGGUCUGGAAAAAUUUGAUGCAAAGAUGGCCACGGGCUGCAGGGUUUCUCUCACUAGCGCACUCUUUCUCUCCGCCCCCCCCUCCCUUUUUUCUUCCCAGGACAGACACCCUGACAUAGCUGUGAUCCUUUGGAUGACAGAGUUGUCAGAAAAGAAAGAGAAAAUUGCAUCUUGUCUCGUAACUUCUUUUCCGUCAAAAGGAAUUUUGGAUCCUAUUUCCAAUAAAAGAGAGGGAAAAUGACCAUUUUCUGGCAAGCAUAGGACCCUAGCUCAAGAGUUUUGGAUUUCAUAAUUAGCGAUUUACUCCUAGACAUGUAGGUCUGGGUCUCCUCUUCAUUUAUCCAGAUUAUUAAGAUGAUUUCUCAUUCAGCUUGUGUCCCUACAUUAGAGUAAAAUUUCUUCCCACUGUCAACCUUAUGCAAGUUGGGGUGGAUAAACAUAAGUACACACUUACACAUAUACAUGUAUAUUCACACAGAACUUUGUUAAACCUGGAGAUUGGCCUGGCUGCUUCAUAUUUUGUGGGAUUUCGGGCUCACUCAGAUUUAAUUCAACCCCUCAAGAUGUCAGAAUUUUCUGGUUCAGGAAAAUCAAUUGUCUCUCUGAUUGAUCCAUGGCUGGUGAAGGGAGAAAAUAAAGGAACAGGGACGGUAGGUCCUAUGAGAACAGUUCUAAGGAACUCUGAAAUGGGACCAGGCUGAGUAGAAGAAGCUGGUUUGACAGUCCCAACUGUAGAAGACUGUGAACAAGCAGAAGUAAUGCCAGUCAUGCUAAAAUGGGAGUCAUGUAAAAUGAAUUUCUAUUAGUUUGGCCAACUUAAGGAAGAUCAAAAAAGAAUGGCUAAUUCAUCAUCAAUUUGCCAGUUUUCCUAUUUACCUAGCUAGCAUAGACAAACAACAAGGUACUUUUGGGAAAUAAUUUAAAUUAUGGUUGGGUUUCAUUAAGUCUGAGACCAAGAUGAGCAGAAGUUAGAUGCCUAAGAACUUCUCUUAAGUGCAUGCGUUAAGAGCAGUGACCUCACAGAGGAGGAAGAGGCCAGAGUAAAGAAUGUCUCCUGUUCUCUGAAUUACCAAGUCAAACGGUUUAAGAACAUGUGUUCUUUAACAGGUGGGCAGAAAGGGAAAAGUGUUAAGAGUUGCUCUAACUGGUUUUACAAGUUCAAAUCCUUGACUGCUCUAGCUUCUGUCCACCAAGCAGCGGCUGCCAGCCCCUUCUAGUUGGGGAGCAGGGGCUGAACCGGGGUGGCAGCUGGGGAAGGAACCAGGCCUCAGCUGUGGCCACUGUCUCUCCUGUACCAGGCCGAGGCGGGGGGCACUUGGCUGCGGACCCCCUGGAUUUGGGAUUCCGAAGAAAGGCGGGGGAAAAGUAGAGUGCCCCUCAAAUCUCACAUCCAGACCAUUGGCAGACACUCAGGUUACCAGGGCAGAAUCUCCCGCCCCGGAGAUUUGCGAGCCAGUGGCCCUAUAUCUACAGAGCAGCGGCUCUUCUAGAUCGGCAUGUCCUAUAUAUAUAUAUAUGUCCGAAUCUUUUUCCAGACCUACAGGAAAGGAAGAGACAGCAGCCCUGAGUAUAACUUUUAAACACUUGACCAGAGAUGCAAACGAAGGGGAGCCUUUUCAUUGCAAGAGGGCCACCCCCUGGGCUCUCAAUCUGCCCUUUCUGUCUCCUACGAGGGACCGAGGCUCCCAGCCGGGCUUUAAAAGCGGGGGUUUUGUGCCUUGAAUACGUCGGGGCCCUGUCCUGGCUUUCAGGAGGAGCGCUGGAAAAAGGGCCGGCGGGCUAACGGACAGAAAGCCGGGGAGGCUAGAGAGGACCCUCGGCCGAAAGGAAACGGCGCCGCCUCCGAGCCGGAGCCGCGCCGGGGCCCGGCGGGGCGAGGGUUAGGCGGGGAUCAAGCCCACGGCGGGCGCGCCGAGUAACCGCCAUCCCCGCUGCACCAGGGCCGGAGAGGGCUGGGGGCGCCUUGACUGGGACGUCGGGGGGUCUUCCCUGCAGCCUGCAGAGCUGGCAGGAGGCUCCAUCAAGAAACACCACGAGGACGCGGUUUUGAGGACUUCCCGCUUUGCCCACCACAGAGCGCCUGGAAGGAAGGUGAAAUUCCCGAGUGCCGGCCCCGCCAAGGACCCGCGCGGAGUGCCCCUUCAGCAGCCUAUUAGACAGGGACUUAAGGGAUGGAGAAGAGGGGGGGUCGCUCCAAACCACAGGCUGCGGGUGACCUCCAGGUCCCCACGUUCUAAGGUCUCCAGCCCUGGGAGCUAUGGACAGGGGAAACCCGUCCUGGUCUCGCCUUGGGGACAAAAAAAGGGCGGCAGAGCGGAGAACUGCAAAGUGCAGGUCAGAGGCUUCAGGGAGAGGGAAAGGAACCCGCGCCUCUAGGUUUUAAAGUAAACAAAGCCGAAAACCACCCCAGAGCCCCUGAGCCAGAUCUCGAGACGUUCAGGGUAGCGCGUGCGCCGAGCACCUUGCUCCGGGAUCAUCCCCAGGCAAACCCUGGGCUGGGCCCCCCGCGCGCCUCGGCCUGUCCCGCCUCGAGUGAGGAGACCCUGAGAGUGCACCCCUGUUCGCAGCUGCUGGACCCUUCCGGACAGGGUGGCUGUGGGGGGCGCUGACCAGGGCAGGGAGGGCUCGGGGCUCAGAGAGGGAGCCCAGCGGCUCUGGAGGCUGGCGCGCACGGCGGGGCCCCAUUGCGACCCCUCUGCCAGGCCGCACGCUCUUGCACUCUCUAGGAGUGAAACUCGCAAACCUUCCCGAGAGCUGGGUAGGGAAAGGGGGAGCAACCAGAGGCAUCUUCUGGCUAUGUUACCACAAGCUUGGAAACGGCGUUUCCACUGUUGGAAACCUCCCGUGGUGGCUGGGAGAGGCCGGCCCCGCGGGGCGGGGAGAAAGCACUCGAAUUCCCAUGUUGCCGUCUUGGCCUUUUCUAAAAAUGAUUAAAAAUAUAUAUAUAUAUAUGAAACUAAAAACUCCAGGCGAGGCAACGCCUUUCUGCCUCUUUUGACAUGACAUCCACUAAAUAAAAUCCGCUUUUAAGCUGUCUGUACUCUAACUUCAAAGGAGCAAAUGUUAAUUUUACCUUUAUUUAAAUGGUUGCCAGGCUGCCUUGUGAGGGGUUCUCCCCCUCCUCCGGCCCUCCCUCUAGAUUUUAACAUAUGGAGUACUGUAAUGAUUUAGCGCCACUGGGGAAAGCAGGCAGCUCUUUCCGCUCGCCUCCUGCCUCCCCCAACACUUUGCCUCAUUUUUGUUGAUAUUGUUAAUUUCAUGGACCGCUCCUUAAAGUUUAGCCGGAAAUACACGGUGCCAGGGCACAAAUGGCGAGUGUGUGGGUUGUCUCCAGUGGCCUUAAGUGGCGACACACCAGCAACAGACCCCAAGUCUCCUUGGGUGCCUGCACACCAUGCCAUGUGGGAUUUCGUGGGCAGGGCUCCUCGAUCUAAAACCAGACAUGAAUAUUUUUACUCCCCACACGCACAGGUGACCACACUCCCGGCGGUUCGCCACAUGCGCCUGGAACUCUGUUCUUGAAGGCAAGGCUGCGGACCUGUAGGGAAACGCAGGGAAUUUCAGGUGGUCUUUUUGAUCCCACCUCCAGUUUUCAGGAUCUCCUGCCAAUUUCUCAGUGUGUUUCUGUCCAGAUAGACUAAGCUCUUCGGAGUUAAUUAACCUGUGGUCCAGCUAUGAUGAGUACACAGCGAAGAAAAGGCGAAAAGAGAGGAUAUUAGAAAGAGGAGAGGGAGAUAAAUAGCGUACGUUUAGCCCCAUUCCUUUACACGCGUCGGCCACAGUUCGUUACCGACUUCCCAGCUGCGAGGACGCUGCGCGCCAUUUACGAUAGAAAGGUGUCCAUAACUGGGGUGGCUGACUCAAAACAGCAAUGAUGACGACAGUAGUGUGGUAACGACCUAGAUCGAGCACCCACUAUGCAUCAGAGGCCUGGCCACGCACUGUGAUGUUCUGUGAUCCUUACAGCAGCUGGAGGAGGACUGAUGGGCUAAACAGACUUAAUGCUUGGCUGUCAGCAUCCCUGUGGAAGACUCCAGCAGACCCACAUGUCCUACGGUUCAACUUUUCAAACCUACCUCUUUGUAAUUCCUAAGUAGGAGUCUGAGCUCUGUUGUCAUAUUUCAGUUUUACAGUUACUCUGAAAUAUUUUGAUCCAAAUAUGCCCUUAGUGUCAUGCUUUAUUAAUGCGAUAUGCCUCAUAUUAGUGACUGCUUGUUCUUGAGCCAUAUGCCCUGAAUAAGUUAUUGGGUUUCAUUGUUUACCCUAAGUUUAAAAAAAAAUUCCAUGCGCUCUGACCUCGUGACACCUAAACCCUGCUCAUGCAGUUAAAACAGGAAAACUAGUUAUCUGAUAUCACGAAGGCAAAUCAGCUUGUAGAAGCCCUCAGAUGUUUCCAUUCCCACUGGUGGGAGGGCAUUGUGGGAGCCAUGGAUUAUUCAUCAAGAAAGCACAGGAGAGAAUUUCUUUUUUGUUUGUUUGUUGAUUUCCAAAGUAAACCCAAGUAUGAAGAGA